rnacentral:rRNA from 1 species
GACAGAGGGUGCAAACGUUGUUCGGAAUACUGGCGUAAAGCGUGUGUAGGCGGCUCUGUAAGUCGGAUGUGAAAGCCCCGGGCUCAACCCGGGAAGUGCACCCCGAUACUACAAAGCUUGAAGUACCGGAGAGGUUGGUGGAAUUCCCGGUGUAGAAGUGAAAUUCGUAGAUAUCGGGAAGAACACCUGAGGCGAAGGCGGCUGUCUGGCGGUGCACUGACGCUGAGGCGCGAAAGCGUGGGGGAGCAAACAGG